rnacentral:rRNA from 1 species
UACGGGGUGAGCAAGCGUUGUUCGGAUUUACUGGGCGUAAAGGGCGCGUAGGCGGCCACUGCAAGUCGGUUGUGAAAUCUCCGGGCUUAACCCGGAAAGGUCAACCGAUACUGCAGGGCUAGAGUGCGGAAGGGGCAACUGGAAUUCUCGGUGUAGCGGUGAAAUGCGUAGAUAUCGAGAGGAACACCUGCGGCGAAGGCGGGUUGCUGGGCCGACACUGACGCUGAUGCGCGAAAGCGUGGGGAGCGAACAGG